AAAUGCACAUGCACAGCUACGAGGCCACACGAUGCCCAUAAUAUUAACACUUUCAAGAUCUUCAAGAUUGAUGUGGCCGUAAUAGGAGGUUACAAAGUUACCAACUGCGCUUUCGACAUCUGCCGUACAUAGUUCGGUACUAUUUGGCGAACCUAACGUAAUUGUCCUUCAUAGAUGACAGGAAGGAAGGUUGAAUAUGACGUCAAAUUUUUCUGCUCAUUUCUUGUUCCUGCGGUUUCGAACCCCGCCCCUCUCUGGCCAACUCUGCUCUGUAGACUCUGUGGAUCACGUGUUGCGACAUGUUUAGUUCUUAGGGUUGGACGUCACUCUGUCUGCGGCAACGGGUUGGUCAAGGUUUUCUUCCAGAUUGUUGCAGUGUGCAAGUGUAACUCUGGGAAUCGUGGAUUUAUGAGACUUGCUUUCAUGUAUGGCACCGCAUAUUUCGAACCAAGGACUUUAGAAAUGUCCCUUGUUUGAAGUGUUAUAUGGAAACGUUUUAUCAUUAACAGCGGCAUUGUGUAAUAGACCUGUAGAAGAAAUGUCUGGGGUGAAUGUCUAAAGAUAUCCAGCACUCAGUUUCGAAUUGACAGAAACUGGCCCAUGAAUUGAAGCCGUGGAGCUGAAUCUUCCCUGAUAGGCCAAUAGUUGAGCUCAGGUGACAAUGGUGUUUGUGAGACUUAACUGAUGCCACUCAGUUUAAUAGUAUUUUGGAAACCUGAAAUCGGAGUUUUAACAUCAGGGAGCAACUGUGUUAAUAAGUCUUCAUUGCUGCUACACAGGAUAAAAUAUAUAUUAAAAAAAAAACAUUCAGAAAUUUUUGAUUCAGAGGCAACAUCAGUGUUUGUGAACCUACAAUUCUCCUACUCAGGGUAAUACAAUCCUCGGAAAAAAAAAUCCAGUGAUUUCAUGUCAGGGAACAUCAGUGUUGAUGAGCUCUCAUUUCUUCCAGACAGGUUAACACAAUGUUGGGAGCAUGAAUUUGGAGAUAUCUCAUGAGGCAAUUGUUGAUUGUUGAUGAGCCUUCAUUCCUUCCAGUCAUGUUAACACACUGUUGGAAGUAUAAAUUCAGAGAUGUUGAAUCAGGCAACAUGAGCAAGGCAGAUUGUCCAGUGGCCCACGUGAAGAAAGGUUAAAUGGUGAGCUUCAGUUCAGUGAAAUGAAGGAAAUAGGGCAGUGGCCAGUGUGAUGUGUAAAGGGUAGAAACUAUGGAAAGAGAUGAUGGCUUUGUGCAAGUCUUGCAGCAGAAAGCAAUUCAUGCAUGCAGACAAAUGCUCAGAAUUGUACCACACCUGUGGAGAUAACCAUGUUCCUCCAAAAGCUACAUACCUACCUACAUGAGUAGACAGUGUCACAACCCAAAAGACUUCACUGUGAGCUUGCAAAUUGUCUGGGAAUAGAUGUGAGAGUUUGUGCUACUAGUGACAUACAAAGUGAUAAAAUGUAUGUGUUCUUAGUGUAGAAAUUGUGAAUCUAACAUGGUGAAAGAUUUCACCCUGAAGAGUGUGCAAUAAGGAGGCUUGUUUUUGCAUGUGUAGAAACUGAAGCAAUUGCAUUUAGAGUGACAGAUUUGCGGGAAGGGUCAUAAACCGAAGACGGAGUGAAGCAGUGAGAUGUGUGCAACUUUUGGAAGGGGCAGUUCACUUUAUGGACUUUGCGUUGCAUGAUCACACGGUGGCGCUAGCAAAUGGAACAGGUGCAAGUUAAAGUUCAGGCCGUUCAUUAUCCAUAAUUUGUGGUUAAUAAUUUGGGCUGGUGUGUGUCAUUCCUUUGGGUCUGGAAGGAAUGUAAUGAUGCUGAUGGAUUAUCGGGUGGUAAAUUUAUAACAGCAUAUUCAUUGAAACAUUUAAAAAUGUCAGGGUUUGAAACCCAGCUCCUGACCUAUACUGUGGCGAGAUGGUGCAGUGACGUCUUGUUUGAAAACGAGCUCUCUCUCUCCACAUCCAUGAGGAGCUGAAGUGAUUGGUGGUCUUCCAUGUUCAUUGGACAUAUGCACAGCAAGAUCUUGCAGAGUUAAUAGAAACUUAAGGGGGAAGAUGACUGUUUUCAGCAGGCUUAUAAAGAGAUGAUCCAAGACCUGAGAGGGAACAAUGUGCAGGGAACUGAAAUACAGUGAAAACCUCAUCAGUGCUCUUUGAUGCGAGAUUAACCUCAGGUAACAUUCGGGUUUGGUGACAUGUCAGUAACCUCAUUGUUAAAUUACAUGCAUGCAAGAAUUCACUUCUUGGCAAAGAGACCUUGAAAAGGAGAUUCACUGUAUGUAGACCUGCAUCUGUAUGCCAUUGUAACCAUCACCAAUCACAGAAACAUGCCUCCCUGUUGACAGUCAUAUGUCAUGGGAAGUCUGGAUGAGGAUUUCCAGCACUGGAAGAAGUGCAGCAGUUGUGUAAGAGGUUCAUCUGCCAGCGCUACAGACAGUGCAAUGGGUAAACUACCACAUCGUUCUCCGCCACAAGUUACCGGUCUUACAACUAGCCUUAGAAAUGUAUGUCUGAUAAAUAUAGAUUAAUAUCCAUUUAGGUAUCAUUAAUAUGAUGCUUGAAGUGUGAAUUGGUCUAAAUGAAUGACCUGUGUUUGAAUUAUAUGUAAGAAAUUUAGAUUUAUUUUGUCCAAAAGAAAAAUUGGUACAGGAGUCGAGGGGGGGGGGGCAUUUAGAGGGCAAAGGAAGAAACCGUUUUCAGCCUAGUGCAAUAUGUCAGUAUUGAGGGCAAAAGUAUAUACCAUUAACCCUGUGUGGGCCAAGUUUUCGGACAGCUUGAGACAAAAUACGGCUUAAAGGAUGUACAUGUACACCUGUAACUUAACCUAGCUAACUUAUAACAGAAUGUACACAUACUCUAACUUCUAACGGAAACUAACAAAACUAACCUGAGCUAACAUGUCAAGGAACAUACAUGUACGUCCAUAGAACAGAAAGGAUCAAGGUGUGUAUACUUACUGCCAUAAGCUUUAUGAAUUUAGCUUAUUGGUUUAUAUGAAGUUCACUCUGCACUAUACCUUACCAUCCAUAGGAGUAACAUAGUGAUCAUUUCUUUUGCUAGAGUCAAGGUCAGUGUAAUGUACUAGAAGUGGUCACAUUUUAGGAGAACAGAUUGGAUAUAGACCUGACAUGUUAAAAAAUAUGUCUUGGCACCAAUUAUAUUGUUGUGUGGAUACUGAUAAGGGCAGCUUAUGGUGAUUAGUACUGUGGUGAAGGAGGGGUUGUAUGCUUCGAUGUUACAAUAUGUUGAGUGUAAUGCCAAAACUUGUACUUGAGAUUGUAUUGCUUGUUUUGAUGUAUGUGCAGCUGGCUAUCAUUGUUUUAUAGGUCUUGUAAAGUGAUAUGUACUUAUAUGUGGAUUGUAGUUUUGUUACUGCUGGUUGGAAAAUGUUUCAACAUGCCUGUAGACAGAAAUAUGUUCGUCGCCAAAUGACAUAAUGAGACAUUCUCAAAAUCGCUGUCAAUUUGUCAGUUAUGAAGUUACGAAAAGAAUGUCCCGCAUAUUUAUGUACAGAAUUGAUUUGUGUUAAGGCAGGGAGAGUUCAAUAGUUGACUACUGUUAUAAUUGCAUGAAUUUCUGUUCCACUUGCUGCCUCAGUGGCAGAGCAUAUGGAUUGUGUAUGUUACCAAUUUUUGUUAAUGUUGAUAGUAUCAUGUAAUAUUUAUUGUAAUGGUCUGAAUGCAGUUUCUGAGGACAUGAGCUAUCAGUAUUUUCCAUCAAGAUAUGUAUAUUUUUUAUGAUGGUGUAUUGUUACGUCUUUAUUCUAUUUGAAAACGUGUCAUUCAUUGGGAGAUGAUUGGACGAAUUGUGUCAGUAUGCCGAGUAUAUGAAUUUUGCGUAUACAGAGCAAGGCUUCUUAAUAUUGGUGGCAUUUCAGUUCAGAAAAAUGUGAUGGAUAUCAGUCCUAUAGUAAGAUAGGAAGUUGUGUUCACCGUGUUGCAUAAAUAUGUGCUAAUGCUAUAGGUGGGUGAUAAAAUAGGAGCAGUACUGUAUGUGUUACGAUCUCUUGGAUUUGUGUUUUUUUUGGAAUACAUAUAAUUCUUAUUUGUUUCACAGUUUGUAAUACUCUCCUGAGUGCAGUAGUGUGUAAGUAUUCAUGUCUGUUUAUCUCUUCAAUUUAUUUUAAGAGUAGCAAGUUACGUAAAUUUUAUGCAAGAGGGCAGGCUGAAAAGGAAAAAAAAAGAGUAUUUUAUUGAAACAAAAAUGGAUAAUUUUUUAAUGUUUGGUGCAACUGUACACAAUUGUGAACAUGAUCACCAGCAGUCAACAGAGUUUUGUGAGUGCUGGGGUAUUUGGAAAUGUGCAUUUAAUCAGAUGUCUGCAUAUUGUGGAUGGAAGGACAUCUCUACCACCAUCUUGACUUCAUCAUGUGAUAGUGGUGGGUGGAGGUGGUGGAAAUGAUGGUGGAGGGGAUGGUGGCGAAGAUGAUGGUGGUGGUGGUGCUGAUGGUGAUGGUGAUGGUGAUGAUGAUCGCCAGUGAAUGUUGAUGAUUGGAAAGAUUUGCACAGUGAGGAUGUAGAUCACUGGACAGAUUGUAUUGCACUCACAUCUCUGUAUACUGCAACAUUUUUCAGCUGUAAUUGAGGGAUGUCUAGAGACAGUAGUGUGAAGAUGUAAUUGAAUUAAUGUGUUUGGUAAAAGAAAAGAAAUGUUACUUUUCAGGAUGCCAUCCUGUUGAAGGCCUGGUUAGUUUUCAGGAAUGUUGCCAUGUUGUGUGUUAGGUUCCUGAGCUGAGGUCUGGAAAGCUUGUGUAGAAGCAUCCUGUUUGAAUGUUGUGUUGUACAGUCUGUAAUGUAAAGAUCAUGUAUUGAUGGCAAUAAUGUAUUGUAUUGAGUUGAGUGCUGGAUUAAUUUGUUUGUGCAGUGUUUAUAAGCAAUACAAGAGUCUUCUCUUGAAUGUGA